CCUACGGGUGGCAGCAGUGAGGAAUAUUGGUCAAUGGGCGCAAGCCUGAACCAGCCACGUCGCGUGAAGGAUGACUGCCCUACGGGUUGUAAACUUCUUUUAUAAGGGAGUAAAGUGAGGCACGUGUGCCUUUUUGUCUGUACUUUAUGAAUGAGGAUCGGCUAACUCCGUGCCAGCAGCCGCGGUAAUACGGAGGAUCCGAGCGUUAUCCGGAUUUAUUGGGUUUAAAGGGAGCGUAGAUGGGGUGUUAAGUCAGUUGUGAAAGUUUGCGGCUCAACCGUAAAAUUGCAAUUGAUACUGGCAGUCUGGAGUACAGUUGAGGUAGGCGGAAUUCGUGGUGUAGCGGUGAAAUGCUUAGAUAUCACGAAGAACUCCGAUGGCGAAGGCAGCUUACUAAACAGCAACUGACAUUGAGGCUCGAAAGUGUGGGGAGCAAACAGGAUUAGAUACCCUAGUAGUC
rnacentral:rRNA from 1 species